ensembl:rRNA 5S_rRNA 5S ribosomal RNA
CUAGCCUGAAUGUGCUUGAUCCCUUUUGAUCUUGAAAGCUAGGCAGGGUCAG